rnacentral:rRNA from 1 species
UACGUAGGGAGCAAGCGUUGUCCGGAAUCAUUGGGCGUAAAGCGCGCGUAGGCGGCCCUGUAAGUCCGUUGUGAAAGUCAAAGGCUCAACCUUUGAAAGCCGAUGGAUACUGCAGGGCUAGAGUCCGGAAGAGGCGAGUGGAAUUCCUGGUGUAGCGGUGGAAUGCGCAGAUAUCAGGAGGAACACCAAUGGCGAAGGCAGCUCGCUGGGACGGUACUGACGCUGAGGCGCGAAAGCGUGGGGAGCGAACAGG